AGAACUGCUAAUUACUUGCCCCCGCGGUUCAAUUCCGCGGCUUCUUCGGC
rnacentral:tRNA from 1 species